UACGGGAGGCAGCAGUGGGGAAUAUUGCACAAUGGGGGAAACCCUGAUGCAGCGACGCCGCGUGAGUGAAGAAGUAUUUCGGUAUGUAAAGCUCUAUCAGCAGGGAAGAUAAU
rnacentral:rRNA from 1 species